UACGUAGGGUGCGAGCGUUAAUCGGAAUUACUGGGCGUAAAGCGUGCGCAGGCGGUUAUUUAAGUCAGGUGUGAAAGCCCUGGGCUUAACCUAGGAAUUGCGCUUGAAACUGCAGUGCUAGAAUCUUGGAGAGGCGAGUGGAAUUCCGAGUGUAGAGGUGAAAUUCGUAGAUAUUCGGAAGAACACCAGUGGCGAAGGCGACUCGCUGGACAAGUAUUGACGCUGAGGUGCGAAAGCGUGGGGAGCAAACAGG
rnacentral:rRNA from 1 species